rnacentral:rRNA from 1 species
UACGUAGGGGGCAAGCGUUGUCCGGAAUCAUUGGGCGUAAAGCGCUCGUAGGCGGUUUGUCGCGUCUGCUGUGAAAACCCGAGGCUCAACCUCGGGCCUGCAGUGGGUACGGGCAGACUAGAGUGCGGUAGGGGAGAUUGGAAUUCCUGGUGUAGCGGUGGAAUGCGCAGAUAUCAGGAGGAACACCAAUGGCGAAGGCAGAUCUCUGGGCCGUAACUGACGCUGAGGAGCGAAAGCAUGGGAGCGAACAGG